rnacentral:snoRNA from 1 species
AACGCAAAUUUCACAGCCAUUCGCAGCACAUACAGUAUCCCAUUGAGGUUGAACCCCUCCGGGGCGUUCUUGACCCAGGACAUAUGUGGAUGUGUGCUGUACAAUUAGAUGAUCUUGUAUUGUCUAUUGUCAUUAGCCGGCUUGGACUGGAGAAUAACAUUUACUGAUCUUGGGUGCAAUUGUUCAUGUGUCGUCUAUUUUCAUAGAUCUAAGGGAAUACCUUCGUGUACCCCGUAUGGGAAUGGUUGCAAGGAUCAUUAAUACAUUU